UACGAAGGGGGGCGAGCGUUGUUCGGAUUUACUGGGCGUAAAGGGCGCGUAGGCGGCCAUUCAAGUCAGGCGUGAAAGCCCCGGGCUCAACCUGGGAGGUGCGCUUGGGACUGGGGUGGCUGGAGUUCGGGAGAGGAGAGUGGAAUUCCCAGUGUAGAGGUGAAAUUCGUAGAUAUUGGGAAGAACACCGGUGGCGAAGGCGGCUCUCUGGACCGAGACUGACGCUGAGGCGCGAAAAGCGUGGGGGAGCAAACAGGG
rnacentral:rRNA from 1 species